UUGAGUUGCAGCAGGGAGCAGGGCUCCUCUCCGUUGAAAGGGGCUUGGCUGUCAGAACACCCCCUGGCCCUGGGGGGCCGCGGCCACGGCCUUGGCUGGGACGGAGACCAUGGCUGCAGCUCUCGCUUGCCAGUAGUGGCUGGCUGGAGGAUACCCCAGUUCUGGGGACCGCAGCAGUGGCGCCAGCCAGGGGCUGCUCCAUCUUUGCCGGUAAUGGCGUGCCCGCAGCAGCAACUUUAGGACUUCCGGGUGUGACAUUUAUCUCCGGUGCGCAUGUGUGACACAUUCUCUGGACAGAGAGACAUAAUUCUGUCUCUCUGGAGAAGCAUAGAGAGAAGAAGAGAAAACAGUCUUUAUCUCUGCUCCUUUGUUUUCUCUAUGUGGAAUUUGGUAUGGAGAUUGUUUACCUGAAGUGAUUGCUUGAUUGGAUUCUGGUGAAGGUUGUUUGGGUUCAAUGACCAAUCGGAUCCAGCUGUGUCUCAGACUCUCAGCAGAGAAGUCAUGAGUUAGUUAGAUAGGUAAGUAAGGAGUAUGUAUGUAGAAUAGGAUAGUCUUUAAAUAGUAUAUUAAUGUAAUAUAGUAUAAUUUUAAUAAAGCAGAUCCUUCAGCUUUCUGAUCUGGAGCCAGACAUCAUCAUUUCUUCCCAGUCAGGGGUGCCCUUUUUUACUAUACACGUGAAUCGAAUUCUCUCACAGGCAUAGUUGGAACAGCUGCAGAGAGCUCUGUUGCUAUGGAAACUGGGGCUGCCACAAAAUGUCCACCUGUCACAGCUGCAGAGCAAGCAGCAAACGUGGUUUUGCAGUGGCCAGGGACUUGGCAGCAACCGGGCACUGUCUCGCAGCAGCCACGCACAAUCCCAGGGGCCCCAGCCAAGGCAGCAGAGCCCAGAGCGGCAGGACACUUGUUUAGUGUGGUUCAACAGAGCACGACGUCUCUGCCGUUUGGAGCGGCGGGGGUGCACUCUGCCAGCAACACACGCUGGGACAGGCUACUUCUGUGGUUCCACUCAGCAGCAGGGUGCCCUGCCGGCAUGCCAUCCCCACCCAGGGCACCAGUAUGUCUCCAAAUGGUUGCAGAGCACCCCUGCCCAGGGUGGCAGCUCUGUCCCCGGUGACCUGAGGAUGUUCUGCUGGGAGACAUCCCUCCAUGGAGCGGCAACAGAGUCCCAGGCAGUUUCAAGGCGCAAUGUGACUGCUCUGCCUGUUCUUCUCCCCCAUUCACUUUUUAACUGUCCCAGUAAGCCCAGUAUAAGCCUCAAGGGCUUUAUAACAUUAAAAAAGAGUCCUUAC